rnacentral:lncRNA from 1 species
GUCCCAAGCAUGUCCACCAUUUUUUCCCAUAAUUAGCCAGGAAAAACUAAUAUCGAGAAGAGAUAUCAAUAGAGUACCAAAUAAAAGUAGUAUUCAACUAAAUAAAGGACAAUGCUAGUAACAGAUUCACAUCCUCAUUAUUCUAAGGCAAGAAAAUGUCAUAGUCUAAGGCAAAACAAUUAAAAGUGAUAAAUAAAACCAACACUAAAUUGUUACUUGUCAGACAACUUGGCUUUAUCAGAUUCAACUAAAACAUAAGCAGCUUUUUUUCCUUCACUUCCUUUAGCAAUUCUUGUCGACUCCUCUGAGGUGCUUGCAAAAUGAAAAAAACUUCAACACCUAGAUGCUCAAGGGAAUUUCAUAGAAAAAUAAAAAAUGAAAGAAACCUAAGGCAUCAGAAAAGGGCAAUUAGGUCAACUAUAAAAUGGUAAAAUCAACCCCAAAUUCAUGGCGAGCUGACUAGCACUCCAACAUUGCCUUGUACCAAACCUUUUUGCAAUUAAUUUUAGUAUCUCAUCAAGAAAAGAGUAAUGCCUACAUACCUUAGCUAUCUCUGAAAAUGCUAUUUGGAUUGAAAAUACUAUUUAAGGAAAAUGGUGAUCGGCGUGGAUGAUUUGAUUCAAAAUAGAGUCGACGACGGCAUUAGGGCUUCCACAUUUGGCGUUUGGCGAGAGAGAAUGAGAGAGGUAGAGAGAUUAGGGUUUCACUGCUUCGGUUUUUAUUGGGCAACCCGCAACCCCGACCCAUAGAAGUAGAAAAACCAAACCCACUUAAAAAUUAAGCAAAAACUGACCCAAACAGAGAGAGGAAGAGAGGACAAGAAUACAAACGAGGUAUUAAAAAGAAAAAAAAAUCAUUUGCCUAGGCCCAAAACCAGUUCUAGUAUUGGGUCUAAUCCCCCCCCCCCCCUUUUUUUUUUCAAUUUCAUUCUACAGAUUUUGGUACAAUUUCUUUCAUUGGGUCAAAUCUCAUUUGAUUGGGACAUGUAGGGUAUUUGAAAUUAUUUAGAGGGACAAAUAUGUCUAAAAUUGACAUUCUUGCAAUGUCUAAAAAAAAGUGACAUUUUUGUAAAUUUCAAGAGAAAAAUUGACAACCUUUGCAAUUUCCACAUAAUUUAUCAACUGGUAG